CUUGGUUCAGGAUGAACGCUAGCGGCAGGCUUAACACAUGCAAGUCGAGGGGCAUCGGGAGUAGCAAUACUUGCCGGCGACCGGCGCAAGGGUGCGUAACGCGUGAGCAACAUGCCCGUAUCAGGGGGAUAAUCCAUGGAAACGUGGUCUAGUACCCAUAGUAAUUAUGUAAGGCAUCUUAUAUAAUUUAAAGCUUUGGUGGAUACGGAUUGGCUCGCGUGACAUUAGCUAGAUGGUAAGGUAACGGCUUACCAUGGCUACGAUGUCUAGGGGUUCUGAGAGGAAGGUCCCCCACACUGGAACUGAGACACGGUCCAGACUCCUACGGGAGGCAGCAGUGAGGAAUAUUGGACAAUGGAUGGAAAUCUGAUCCAGCCAUGCCGCGUGCAGGAAGAACCGGCCCUAUGGGUUGUAAACUGCUUUUGUAUGGGAGCAAUAAGGGCUACGUGUAGUCCGAUGAGAGUACCAUACGAAUAAGCACCGGCUAACUCCGUGCCAGCAGCUGC
rnacentral:rRNA from 1 species